CCUUUCGGGGUCCGAGUUGUAAUUUGUAGAGAGUGUUUCGGGUGAGACCACGGNUCUAAGUCCAUUGGAACAUGGCGUCAUAGAGGGUGAGAAUCCCGUAUGUGACUGUGGAUCGAGCCCAUGUGAAGCCUCUUCGACGAGUCGAGUUGUUUGGGAAUGCAGCUCAAAAUGGGUGGUAAAUUUCAUCUAAAGCUAAAUACUGGCUGGAGACCGAUAGCGCACAAGUAGAGUGAUCGAAAGAUGAAAAGCACUUUGGAAAGAGAGUCAAACAGUACGUGAAAUUGUUGAAAGGGAAGCGCUUGCAACCAGACCUGUCCGUAGGUGAUCAGCCGCUGUUCUCAGUGGUGCACUCGCUCUGCGAUCAGGCCAGCAUCGGUUCGGGCGGUCGGAUAAAGGCCUUGGGAAUGUAGCUCCCUUCGGGGAGUCUUAUAGCCCUCGGUGCAAUGCGGCCAGCCGGGACCGAGGACCGCGCUUCGGCUAGGAUGCUGGCGUAAUGGUUGUAAGCGACCCGUCUUGAAACACGGACCAAGGAGUCUAACAUCUAUGCGAGUGUUUGGGUGUUAAACCCAUGCGCGGAAUGAAAGUGAACGGAGGUGAGAACCCUUAAGGGCGCAUCAUCGACCGAUCCAGAUGUCUUCGGAUGGAUUUGAGUAUGAGCAUAGCUGUUGGGACCCGAAAGAUGGUGAACUAUGCCUGAAUAGGGUGAAGCCAGAAGGAAACUCUGGUGGAGGCUCGCAGCGGGUUCUGACGUGCAAAUCGAUCGU
rnacentral:rRNA from 1 species